AGUUGCCGAGUUCUUGGAGCCCUUGCCGGCGACGUCACACCCCGUGAUCACCUUAUAAGGAGAACCCUGGGAGCAGAGAGGGAUUCCUAGAGCUAUGACGUCAUCGGAGAGGAUCCGUGGAACAUAUUUUGUGGCCAAGUAUAAGACUUGUUCUAAAGUUUGCGGAACAGACAUACGGAUGUGAAAAGUACAGGGAUCAUCCAAAUGCACAUGUUGCUCUUUCUUUUCUGAACCCUGCAUUGUGCCUAAACAGCAUUUUGGGACUACAUAUGGGCUGUUACUGUACUCAUGAGAAAAUGGGUAACAAAUUAUGUGGUCCUUUUUCUCCAUUUUCAAGAAUCUGGGACUAAAGUAACAUUUUAUUGGAAGAAAUGUACAUUUUAAUUUUCACAGAUAAGUAUUUCUAAUAAACACUUGUGGGGUCAAAAUGAUCAAUAAACUGCUCAAUAAAUUCCUUCAGGGGUGUAGCUUCCAAAAUGAGGGUGGGGGCGUUCCACUAUAGGGGUACCUCAGGGUCUCUUCAAAUGUGACAUGGCACCUAAAAACCAUUCCAUUAAAAUAUGACCUCCAAAAACCAUAUGGCGCUCCUUUCCUUGUGAGCCCUGCAAUGUGCCCAUACAGCAGUUUAGGACCACAUGUGGGAUGUGUCUGUACACUGUAGAAUCAGGUUAACAAAUAUUGAGGUUUGUUUUGCUGUUAAACCUUUCUAUAUUAGUGACAAAUAGAUAAAAAAAUAAAAAUAAAAAAAAGUUACAUCAGG